rnacentral:rRNA from 1 species
UUGAACGCUGGCGGCAGGCCUAACACAUGCAAGUCGAACGGUAACAGGAAGCAGCUUGCUGCUUUGCUGACGAGUGGCGGACGGGUGAGUAAUGUCUGGGAAACUGCCUGAUGGAGGGGGAUAACUACUGGAAACGGUGGCUAAUACCGCAUAACGUCGCAAGACCAAAGAGGGGGACCUUCGGGCCUCUUGCCAUCAGAUGUGCCCAGAUGGGAUUAGCUUGUUGGUGAGGUAACGGCUCACCAAGGCGACGAUCCCUAGCUGGUCUGAGAGGAUGACCAGCCACACUGGAACUGAGACACGGUCCAGACUCCUACGGGAGGCAGCAGUGGGGAAUAUUGCACAAUGGGCGCAAGCCUGAUGCAGCCAUGCCGCGUGUAUGAAGAAGGCCUUCGGGUUGUAAAGUACUUUCAGCGGGGAGGAAGGUGUUGUGGUUAAUAACCGCAGCAAUUGACGUUACCCGCAGAAGAAGCACCGGCUAACUCCGUGCCAGCAGCCGCGGUAAUACGGAGGGUGCAAGCGUUAAUCGGAAUUACUGGGCGUAAAGCGCACGCAGGCGGUCUGUCAAGUCGGAUGUGAAAUCCCCGGGCUCAACCUGGGAACUGCAUUCGAAACUGGCAGGCUUGAGUCUUGUAGAGGGGGGUAGAAUUCCAGGUGUAGCGGUGAAAUGCGUAGAGAUCUGGAGGAAUACCGGUGGCGAAGGCGGCCCCCUGGACAAAGACUGACGCUCAGGUGCGAAAGCGUGGGGAGCAAACAGGAUUAGAUACCCUGGUAGUCCACGCCGUAAACGAUGUCUACUUGGAGGUUGUGCCCUUGAGGCGUGGCUUCCGGAGCUAACGCGUUAAGUAGACCGCCUGGGGAGUACGGCCGCAAGGUUAAAACUCAAAUGAAUUGACGGGGGCCCGCACAAGCGGUGGAGCAUGUGGUUUAAUUCGAUGCAACGCGAAGAACCUUACCUGGUCUUGACAUCCACAGAACUUUCCAGAGAUGGACUGGUGCCUUCGGGAACUGUGAGACAGGUGCUGCAUGGCUGUCGUCAGCUCGUGUUGUGAAAUGUUGGGUUAAGUCCCGCAACGAGCGCAACCCUUAUCCUUUGUUGCCAGCGAUUAGGUCGGGAACUCAAAGGAGACUGCCAGUGAUAAACUGGAGGAAGGUGGGGAUGACGUCAAGUCAUCAUGGCCCUUACGACCAGGGCUACACACGUGCUACAAUGGCGCAUACAAAGAGAAGCGACCUCGCGAGAGCAAGCGGACCUCAUAAAGUGCGUCGUAGUCCGGAUUGGAGUCUGCAACUCGACUCCAUGAAGUCGGAAUCGCUAGUAAUCGUGGAUCAGAAUGCCACGGUGAAUACGUUCCCGGGCCUUGUACACACCGCCCGUCACACCAUGGGAGUGGGUUGCAAAAGAAGUAGGUAGCUUAACCUUCGGGAGGGCGCUUACCACUUUGUGAUUCAUGACUGGGGUGAAGUCGUAACAAGGUAACCGUAGGGGAACCUGCGGUUGGAUCACCUCCUUACCUUAAAGAAGC